AACAGCUAAAUUAAAAUGUAUUUUUGUUAUUCUGAAAACUUUGUAAAAAUUCGGAUAUAUGGUCAAAACAAAUAUUAUUAACAAAUUAUAUUUUAUAGAAUUUUUGGUUAUGGGAUGUCGAAUAGUAUAUUUGCAUAAAAAGUCCAGAGAUAUAGGCAGUGUUGAGUCGCGAUAUGAAAUAUUUUGGUGUAUCACUGUGAAAUUAUUUAAACAAAACCAACAUUACCAUUUUCUCAGUUUUUUAUGUCCAGUUUUUUACAACCCAAUGUCCAGCUUUUUGUGAAUCGGAAUCUGGCAACCCUAAUCACAGUUAAUGUUCAAUCGUUUGUUAAGAACAAAAUUACCAACUUCUGAAAAAUUGUUAUCCUCAAAAUAUAACAAUAAUUUACAAGAACAACUUAUAAAGAAAACUAAACAUAAUGAAAAAUAUUACAAUAUUUCACCCAGAAGAGGAAGCAAAUUUGAAAAGGCAGAUGACGAGUGUAGACAGUACCAAAGAAACAGCUGGUUUAAAAAAAAUGUCGCUCAGUAUCCAAUCAAACUUCAAUAAAAAAAGGCAGAUGUAACAUUAUAUUAAAGCUUUCUGUUAAAAGACUUAAUAAUGAACAUGUACAAGUAUCAUAAAAGAACAUAGUAAUAAUUAUAGAAUUAGUAAUAAGGAAUAAGAAAUGAAUUGUAAAGAAAUAAAGUCAGUGAAUAAAGAGAUUUCAGAAAAUAAA